UGGCUCAGGACGAACGCUGGCGGCGUGCCUAAUACAUGCAAGUCGAGCGGACAGAUGGGAGCUUGCUCCCUGAUGUUAGCGGCGGACGGGUGAGUAACACGUGGGUAACCUGCCUGUAAGACUGGGAUAACUCCGGGAAACCGGGGCUAAUACCGGAUGCUUGUUUGAACCGCAUGGUUCAGACAUAAAAGGUGGCUUCGGCUACCACUUACAGAUGGACCCGCGGCGCAUUAGCUAGUUGGUGAGGUAACGGCUCACCAAGGCGACGAUGCGUAGCCGACCUGAGAGGGUGAUCGGCCACACUGGGACUGAGACACGGCCCAGACUCUACGGGAGGCAGCAGUAGGGAAUCUUCCGCAAUGGACGAAAGUCUGACGGAGCAACGCCGCGUGAGUGAUGAAGGUUUUCGGAUCGUAAAGCUCUGUUGUUAGGGAAGAACAAGUGCCGUUCAAAUAGGGCGGCACCUUGACGGUACCUAACCAGAAAGCCACGGCUAACUACGUGCCAGCAGCCGCGGUAAUACGUAGGUGGCAAGCGUUGUCCGGAAUUAUUGGGCGUAAAGGGCUCGCAGGCGGUUUCUUAAGUCUGAUGUGAAAGCCCCCGGCUCAACCGGGGAGGGUCAUUGGAAACUGGGGAACUUGAGUGCAGAAGAGGAGAGUGGAAUUCCACGUGUAGCGGUGAAAUGCGUAGAGAUGUGGAGGAACACCAGUGGCGAAGGCGACUCUCUGGUCUGUAACUGACGCUGAGGAGCGAAAGCGUGGGGAGCGAACAGGAUUAGAUACCCUGGUAGUCCACGCCGUAAACGAUGAGUGCUAAGUGUUAGGGGGUUUCCGCCCCUUAGUGCUGCAGCUAACGCAUUAAGCACUCCGCCUGGGGAGUACGGUCGCAAGACUGAAACUCAAAGGAAUUGACGGGGGCCCGCACAAGCGGUGGAGCAUGUGGUUUAAUUCGAAGCAACGCGAAGAACCUUACCAGGUCUUGACAUCCUCUGACAAUCCUAGAGAUAGGACGUCCCCUUCGGGGGCAGAGUGACAGGUGGUGCAUGGUUGUCGUCAGCUCGUGUCGUGAGAUGUUGGGUUAAGUCCCGCAACGAGCGCAACCCUUGAUCUUAGUUGCCAGCAUUCAGUUGGGCACUCUAAGGUGACUGCCGGUGACAAACCGGAGGAAGGUGGGGAUGACGUCAAAUCAUCAUGCCCCUUAUGACCUGGGCUACACACGUGCUACAAUGGGCAGAACAAAGGGCAGCGAAACCGCGAGGUUAAGCCAAUCCCACAAAUCUGUUCUCAGUUCGGAUCGCAGUCUGCAACUCGACUGCGUGAAGCUGGAAUCGCUAGUAAUCGCGGAUCAGCAUGCCGCGGUGAAUACGUUCCCGG
rnacentral:rRNA from 1 species